CGGAGUCUCACUCUGUCACCCAGGCUGGAGUGCAGUGGCUUGAUCUCGGCUCACUGCAAGCUCCACCUCCCGGGUUCACGCCAUUCUCCUGCCUCAGCCUCCCGAGUAGCUGGGACUAUAGGCGCCCACCACGACGCCCGGCUAAUUUUUUGUAUUUUUAGUAGAGACGGGGUUUCACCAGGUUAGCCAGGAUGGUCUCGAUCUCCUGACCUUGUGAUCCGCCCGCCUCGGCCUCCCAAAGUGCUGGGAUUACAGGCGUGAGCCACCGUGCCCAGCC
rnacentral:lncRNA from 1 species